rnacentral:RNase_P_RNA from 1 species
AGCACAGACCGCCUUAUCGCUUUAUUCCGAAUCAAAUUCGAUUAAAGAGGAAAGUCCGGACACCACAGAGAAGCAUAGCGGGUAACACCCGUCAUCUCGUCUUUCGGGACGGGAUAGGACAAGUGCAACAGAAAGUAUGUACAGGUAAUGCUGUAGUGAAACCAGGUAAACUCUAUGCGGUGAAAUACCAAGUAUAUCAGCAUUUAAGGAUUUCUCGUCCGUUGUUGAAGGGUAGGUAGCUCGAUCUUGUUGGUAACAACAAGGCUAGAUAAAUGAUAAGGUCUUGUCUCGUUUUUUGGAACGGGACGAGAACAGAAUCCGGCUUACAGGUCUGUUUUUUUU